UGUGGUUAAUUCGAUGCAACGCGAAGAACCUUACCUGGUCUUGACAUCCCGGAGACCCGUUAGGAAACUAGGGGUGCUUCCAUCUGGAAGAAUCUGGAGACAGGUGCUGCAUGGCUGUCGUCAGCUCGUGUCGUGAGAUGUUGGGUUAAGUCCCGCAACGAGCGCAACCCUUGCCUUUAGUUGCCAGCAGUUCGGCUGGGCACUCUAAAGGGACUGCCGGUGUUAAACCGGAGGAAGGUGGGGAUGACGUCAAGUCCUCAUGGCCUUUAUGACCAGGGCUACACACGUACUACAAUGGCCGAUACAAAGGGCAGCGACACUGCGAGGUGAAGCCAAUCCCGUAAAAUCGGUCUCAGUCCGGAUUGGAGUCUGCAACUCGACUCCAUGAAGUUGGAAUCGCUAGUAAUCGUGGAUCAGCAUGCCACGGUGAAUACGUUCCCGGGCCUU
rnacentral:rRNA from 1 species